UGGCGGCAGGCUUAACACAUGCAAGUCGAGCGGUAGCAGAUCUAGCUUGCUAGAUGCUGACGAGCGGCGGACGGGUGAGUAACGCGUAGGAACCUGCCCAGUAGUGGGGGAUAGCCCGGGGGAAACUCGGAUCAAUACCGCAUACGCUCUACGGAGGAAAGAGGGGCUUCGGCUCUCGCUAUUGGAUGGGCCUGCGUGAGAUUAGCUAGUUGGUGAGGUAAUGGCUCACCAAGGCGACGAUCUCUAGCUGGUCUGAGAGGAUGAUCAGCCACACUGGGACUGAGACACGGCCCAGACUCCUACGGGAGGCAGCAGUGGGGAAUAUUGCACAAUGGGCGCAAGCCUGAUGCAGCCAUGCCGCGUGUGUGAAGAAGGCUUUCGGGUUGUAAAGCACUUUCAGUGGGGAGGAAGGCCUCGUAGUUAAUAGCUGCGAGGGUUGACGUUACCCACAGAAGAAGCACCGGCUAACUCCGUG
rnacentral:rRNA from 1 species